rnacentral:misc_RNA from 1 species
UCCGGUUUGUCACCGGCAGUCCCCCAUGAGUCCCCGACUUUACUCGCUGGCAACAUGAGACAAGGGUUGCGCUCGUUGCGGGACUUAACCCAACACCUCACGGCACGAGCUGACGACAGCCAUGCAGCACCUGUCUCCGGUCCAGCCGAACUGAAGAACUCCAUCUCUGGAGUCCGCGACCGGGAUGUCAAGGGCUGGUAAGGUUCUGCGCGUUGCAUCGAAUUAAAGAACAUGCUCCGCUGCUUGUGCGGGCCCCCGUCAAUUCUUUUGAGUUUUAGCCUUGCGGCCGUACUCCCCAGGCGGGACACUUAACGCGUUAACUGCGGCACAGAGGGAUUCGACUCCCCCCACACCUAGUGUCCAUCGUUUACGGCUAGGACUAC